GCCAUCGUGGUGUAAUUGAAAAACACGUCCGGCUGGUAAUCGGAAGGUCCGGAAUUCGAAUCCCGAUGAGUGCA
rnacentral:tRNA from 1 species